rnacentral:rRNA from 1 species
UACGAAGGGUGCUAGCGUUGUUCGGAAUUACUGGGCGUAAAGCGCGUGUAGGCGGCUAUGCAAGUCGGAUGUGAAAUCCCUCGGCUUAACCGGGGAACUGCGUCUGAGACUGAUGAGCUUGAGUGCAGGAGAGGAACGCGGAAUUCCAGGUGUAGCGGUGAAAUGCGUAGAUAUCUGGAGGAACACCGGUGGCGAAGGCGGCGUUCUGGACUGCAACUGACACUGAAAGACGAAAGCCAGGGGAGCAAACGGG